rnacentral:rRNA from 1 species
AUACGUAGGGGGCGAGCGUUGUCCGGAAUGACUGGGCGUAAAGGGCGUGUAGGCGGCCUGAUAAGUUUGGAGUGAAAGUCCUGUUUUCAAGAUGGGAAUUGCUUUGGAUACUGUCGGGCUUGAGUGCAGAAGAGGUAAGCGGAAUUCCCAGUGUAGCGGUGAAAUGCGUAGGGAUUGGGAGGAACACCGGUGGCGAAGGCGGCUUUCCGGAAAGUAACUGACGGUGAGGGGCGAAAGCGGGGGGAGCAAAAAGGAUUAGAAUCCCUGGUAGUCCACGCCGGUAACCAAGAAUUCUAGGGGGAGGGGGUAUCGACUCCCUCUGUGCCGCAGUUAACACAAUAAGUAUUCCGCCUGGGGAGUACGGCCGCAAGGUUGAAACUCAAAUGAAUUGACGGGG